AGCUCGUGUCGUGAGAUGUUGGGUUAAGUCCCGCAACGAGCGCAACCCCUAUUGUUAGUUGCCAUCAUUCAGUUGGGCACUCUAGCGGGACUGCCGGUAAUAAACCGGAGGAAGGUGGGGAUGACGUCAAAUCAUCAUGCCCCUUAUGACCUGGGCUACACACGUGCUACAAUGGUUGGUACAACGAGUUGCGAGUCGGUGACGGCGAGCUAAUCUCUUAAAGCCAAUCUCAGUUCGGAUUGUAGGCUGCAACUCGCCUACAUGAAGUCGGAAUCGCUAGUAAUCGCGGAUCAGCACGCCGCGGUGAAUACGUUCCCGGGCCUU
rnacentral:rRNA from 1 species